UACGAAGGUGGCAAGCGUUGUUCGGAUUUACUGGGCGUACAGGGAGCGUAGGCGGUUGGAUAAGCCCUCCGUGAAAUCUCCAGGCUUAACCUGGAAAGUGCAGAGGGGACUGUUCAGCUAGAGGAUGGGAGAGGAGCGCGGAAUUCCCGGUGUAGAGGUGAAAUUCGUAGAUAUCGGGAGGAACACCAGUGGCGAAGGCGGCGAUCUGGGAAGAUACUGACGCUGAGGUGCGAAAGCGUGGGGAGCAAACAGG
rnacentral:rRNA from 1 species